rnacentral:rRNA from 1 species
AGAGUUUGAUCCUGGCUCAGAACAUACGCUGGCGGCACGCCUAACACAUGCAAGUCGAACGAAGUAGCAAUACUUAGUGGCAGACGGGUGAGUAACAUGUGGGUAUCUGCCCUUUGGCCUGGAAUAACACGAGGAAACUUGUGCUAAUACCGGAUAAGUCUUUACGGAGAAAGCUUUAUGCACCAUUGGAUGAGCCCGCACUUGAUUAGUUUGUUGGUGGGGUAAUGGCCUACCAAGACUGUGAUCAAUAGCUGAUUUGAGAGGAUGAUCAGCCACAUUGGGACUGAGACACGGCCCAAACUCCUACGGGAGGCAGCAGUGGGGAAUCUUGCACAAUGGAGGAAACUCUGAUGCAGCGAUGCCGCGUGAGUGAAGAAGGCCCUUGGGUUGUAAAGCUCUUUCGUCGGGGAAGAAAAUGACUGUACCCGAAUAAGAAGGUCCGGCUAACUUCGUGCCAGCAGCCGCGGUAAUACGAAGGGACCUAGCGUAGUUCGGAAUUACUGGGCUUAAAGAGUUCGUAGGUGGUUGAAAAAGUUAGUGGUGAAAUCCCAGAGCUUAACUCUGGAACUGCCAUUAAAACUUUUCAGCUAGAGUAUGAUAGAGGAAAGCAGAAUUUCUAGUGUAGAGGUGAAAUUCGUAGAUAUUAGAAAGAAUACCAAUUGCGAAGGCAGCUUUCUGGAUCAUUACUGACACUGAGGAACGAAAGCAUGGGUAGCGAAGAGGAUUAGAUACCCUCGUAGUCCAUGCCGUAAACGAUGUGUGUUAGACGUUGGAAAUUUAUUUUCAGUGUCGCAGCGAAAGCGAUAAACACACCGCCUGGGGAGUACGACCGCAAGGUUAAAACUCAAAUGAAUUGACGGGGACCCGCACAAGUAGUGGAGCAUGUGGUUUAAUUCGAAGAUACGCGCAGAACCUUACCAACACUUGACAUGUUCGUCGCGACUCUAAGAGAUUAGAGUUUUCGGUUCGGCCGGACGAAACACAGGUGCUGCAUGGCUGUCGUCAGCUCGUGUCGUGAGAUGUUGGGUUAAGUCCCGCAACGAGCGCAACCCUCACUUUUAGUUGCCAUCAUUAAGUUGGGCACUCUGAAAGAACUGCCAGUGAUAAGCUGGAGGAAGGUGGGGAUGACGUCAAGUCCUCAUGGCCCUUACGUGUUGGGCUACACACGUGCUACAAUGGUAUCUACAACAGGAAGCAAGACUGCGAGGUCAAGCAAAUCCUUAAAAGAUACCUCAGUUCGGAUUGCACUCUGCAACUCGAGUGCAUGAAGCUGGAAUUACUAGUAAUCGUGGAUCAGCGUGCCACGGUGAAUGCGUUCCCGGGUCUUGUACACACCGCCCGU